AAAAUGGGUCAGGGAACUCCAGGAGGUCUGAACCGGCAAGCCCCCGGCGACCGGAAGUCCGACGCCGAUAAAAAGAAAGACAAGAAGUAUGAACCGGCGGCGCCGCCGACUCGAGUUGGCCGCAAACAGCGGAAGCAGAAAGGUCCGGAGGCUGCUGCUCGGCUUCCGACGGUUACGCCUCUCACAAAGUGCAGGCUGAGGCUUCUGAAGCUCGAACGUGUGAAGGAUUACCUGUUAAUGGAGGAGGAAUUUGUCACUAAUCAGGAGCGCCUUAAGCCGCAAGAGGAGAAGGCGGAGGAGGAUCGCUCUAAGGUCGAUGAUCUGAGAGGAUCUCCCAUGAGUGUUGGAAAUUUGGAGGAGUUGAUUGAUGAGAAUCAUGCCAUCGUUUCCUCUUCUGUUGGACCGGAGUAUUACGUUGGUAUUAUGUCUUUUGUUGAUAAAGAUCAGCUUGAGCCUGGGUGUGCAAUUUUGAUGCAUAAUAAGGUACUUUCUGUUGUUGGACUUCUUCAAGAUGAGGUUGAUCCAAUGGUGUCUGUGAUGAAAGUUGAGAAGGCCCCUUUAGAGUCAUAUGCUGAUAUUGGUGGAUUGGAUGCUCAAAUACAAGAGAUUAAAGAAGCUGUUGAGUUGCCAUUGACUCAUCCUGAGUUAUAUGAGGACAUAGGUAUUAGGCCUCCUAAAGGUGUGAUACUCUAUGGGGAGCCAGGAACAGGCAAGACUUUGCUUGCAAAGGCAGUGGCAAACUCAACGUCAGCCACGUUCUUGCGUGUGGUUGGAAGUGAACUCAUCCAGAAAUACUUGGGAGAUGGUCCAAAGUUAGUGAGGGAACUCUUCAGGGUUGCUGAUGAUCUCUCACCUUCCAUUGUUUUUAUUGAUGAGAUCGAUGCUGUUGGCACAAAGAGGUAUGAUGCUCACUCUGGAGGUGAACGUGAGA
rnacentral:misc_RNA from 1 species